rnacentral:rRNA from 1 species
UACGUAGGGUGCAAGCGUUGUCCGGAAUUAUUGGGCGUAAAGAGCUCGUAGGCGGUCUGUUGCGUCCGCUGUGAAAGCCCGGGGCUUAACCCCGGGUCGCAGUGGAUACGGGCAGGCUAGAGGUAGGUAGGGGAGAAUGGAAUUCCCGGUGUAGCGGUGAAAUGCGUAGAUACCCGGAGGAACACCAGUGGCGAAGGCGGCUUCCUGGUCUGCGACUGACGCUGUGGCGCGAAAGCUAGGGGAGCAAACGGGG